rnacentral:rRNA from 1 species
UACAGAGGGUGCAAGCGUUAAUCGGAAUUACUGGGCGUAAAGGGUGCGUAGGUGGUUGAAUGAGUUAGGUGUGAAAGUCCUGGGCUUAACCUGGGGAUUGCGCCUAAUACUGUUUAGCUAGAGUACUGUAGAGGAAGGUGGAAUUUCCAGUGUAGCGGUGAAAUGCGUAGAUAUUGGAAGGAACAUCAGUGGCGAAGGCGACUUUCUGGACAGAUACUGACACUGAGGCACGAAAGCGUGGGGAGCAAACAGG